AAAAAAAAAAAAAAAAAAAAAAAAAAAAAAAAAAAAAAAAAUUAUAUGGUAUAAUAUUAAUUAUAAGAGUAACAAUAGCAAAAGGGAUCACCUGAAUCCAUUCCGAACUCAGUAGUUAAGCCUUUUUACGCCGAAGAUACUAGAAAUAGGAAAAUAGGGAGUUACUCUUUUUUUUUUUUUUUUUUUUUUAUAUAUAUAAA
rnacentral:rRNA from 1 species